GAUGAACGCUGGCGGUAGGCUUAACACAUGCAAGUCGAGCGGAAACGAUGAUAGCUUGCUAUCAGGCGUCGAGCGGCGGACGGGUGAGUAAUGCUUGGGAAUAUGUCCUUUUGGGUGGGGGACAACAGUUGGAAACGACUGCUAAUACCGCAUAAUGUCUGAGGACCAAAGGCGGGGGACCUUCGGGCCUCGUGCCAAAAGAUUAGCCCAAGUGAGAUUAGCUAGUUGGUGGGGUAAAGGCCUACCAAGGCGACGAUCUCUAGCUGGUUUGAGAGGAUGAUC
rnacentral:rRNA from 1 species